GCUUAGAGUUUGAUCCUGGCUCAGAUUGAACGCUGGCGGCAGGCCUAACACAUGCAAGUCGAACGGUAGCAGGAUGUGCUUGCACAUCGCUGACGAGUGGCGGACGGGUGAGUAAUGCUUAGGGAUCUGCCUCUGUGUGGGGGAUAACUAUUGGAAACGAUAGCUAAUACCGCAUAAUGUUUACGGGCCAAAGGGGGCUUUUAGCUCCCGCGCAGAGAGGAACCUAAGUGAGAUUAGCUAGUUGGUGGGGUAAAGGCUAACCAAGGCGACGAUCUCUAGCUGUUCUGAGAGGAAGAUCAGCCACACUGGGACUGAGACACGGCCCAGACUCCUACGGGAGGCAGCAGUGGGGAAUAUUGCACAAUGGGGGAAACCCUGAUGCAGCCAUGCCGCGUGUGUGAAGAAGGCCUUCGGGUUGUAAA
rnacentral:rRNA from 1 species